CCUACGGGAGGCAGCAGUGGGGAAUAUUGGGCAAUGGGCGCAAGCCUGACCCAGCAACGCCGCGUGAAGGAAGAAGGCUCUCGGGUUGUAAACUUCUUUUAUCAGGGACGAAGCAAGUGACGGUACCUGAUGAAUAAGCCACGGCUACCUACUUGCCAGCAGCCGCGGGAAGACGGAGGUGGCAAGCGUGAUCCGGAUUUACGGGGUGUAAAGGGCGUGUAGUCGGGCAAGCAAGUCAGAUGUGAAAACAAUGGGCUCAACCUGUGGCCUGCAUUUGAAACUGUUUUUCUUGAGUACUGGAGAGGCAGACGGAAUUCCUAGUGUAGCGGUGAAAUGCGUAGAUAUUAGGAGGAACACCAGGGGCGAAGGCGGUCUGCUGGACAGCAACUGACGCUGAGGCGCGAAGGCGUGGGGAGCAAACAGGAUUAGAUACCCGAGUAGUC
rnacentral:rRNA from 1 species